GGCAAAACCAGACAAUUUCUGUUAAGCUGUCAGAACAACACCGACAGGUAAAGUGGGUGUAGAAGCUAACUCUAAGAAAUAUAGGAACAUUCCCAUAAACAGAUGGAUCUUUCUAUAUAGGUCAAACUUUUGUUUUCUGCCAGCCUUCUUUCUCACUCCUAGGAUGAUGCCAGCUGCACGACACAGUACUGCUGCUCUCUCACUCUUGAAAGAAAGCUUUUUCCAGGUGCCAAAUCCAAUCAGAACAAUGUAGGUAGCUCAGCUGAUGACAGGGAACCAGAUCCAAUGUGCUGUUAGGAGCAAAAUGCACCGGCAGCUUCAAGAAUCCGCACCCUCAGGAGACAGGACACCUGGCCUGCCCACACCACCAGCUUUCCUAAAACAUCCUUCCCAGCUCCAGCAAACUUCAGUACCCCCAGGAGGGACUGAAAAAGACAACACUCUCCUGAGCCAUAAAUAUCCCUGGUUAGUUCUUCCUGAGACCAAACUCCUGGUGCAUUUAACGAGCACUUGGCGCAAAACAAGAAUGACACCAGGGCCAGGAGACCUCUGAGCAAGACUUCAGCCCAGGUUAGCGUUUUUUUUUUCUUUUUACUAUUAAGAAUGACUAAUCUCCAGUGCCUCCAACGGAGACGAGAGUGUCCUAGCCAAGAGUUUUAAUACUUCCCGAAGGCUUUUUGCAGUUGAUCCAGGCUGGCUAAUAAGCAUAUAGCUCGUGCACAAGCUUUUAAACAUCUGCUCUAAGUGCACCAUAUUAGCCCUUUGACUUUGGCCGUGCAUGUGCUAUUUUUGGCUUGUGCUAGUGACUGACAUGUUGUCCUGCUGACUGUGUUAUUUCACAUCCUGGAAACACCAUGGGCUGAGAGCUACAGGGCUCUCGGUUUGGGAAAAACACACGUUUUUUAAACCUCCAGAGCCUGAGCGCAUCCUAGCGAGGCUCACCUAGCAGUGACAAAGACGGGAGAGAAAUGAGAUGGGUAUGGCAAAGCAUUAAUACGUAAUAAAUAAAAGAGCAGCGUAGCA
rnacentral:lncRNA from 1 species